UGAGGAAUAUUGGUCAAUGGGCGGAAGCCUGAACCAGCCAAGUCGCGUGAGGGAAGACGGUCCUAUGGAUUGUAAACCUCUUUUGUCGGGGAGCAAAGGCGGUCACGUGUGACCGGAUGAGAGUACCCGAAGAAAAAGCAUCGGCUAACUCCGUGCCAGCAGCCGCGGUAAUACGGAGGAUGCGAGCGUUAUCCGGAUUUAUUGGGUUUAAAGGGUGCGCAGGCGGCACUGCAAGUCAGCGGUCAAAAUGCGGGGCUCAACCCCGUCGAGCCGUUGCAAACUGCAGGUCCUUGCAGUGCGCGAGAAGUAUGCGGAAUGCGUGGUGUAGCGGUGAAAUGCAUAGAUAUCACGCAGAACUCCGAUUGCGAAGGCAGCUUACCAAACUACAUCUGACGUUGAGGCACGAAAGCGUGGGGAGCAAACAGGAUUAGAUACC
rnacentral:rRNA from 1 species